GUUGCUAAGAGACCUUAAAAGUUCUUAUCACAAGAAAAACAAAUUUUAUAAGUAUCUAUAAUUUCACAAUAUACAAAUAAUGAAUGUUACACGCUUGAAAUGAAUAUUAUAGCUAUCAUAUCUUAAUUUAAAAAAAGGAAAAAUAAAGAAUAAUAGGUCAUGACCAAGCUGAGUUUGUUUCUGGAACACAGGAAAUUUCAAUAUUAGUAAAUCUAUUAAUAUAGUCUAUUAUAUUAAUAAAUCAAAUAUAAAAACCAAGCAGUUGCUUCUAUUUUUGUUGAGGAUGUGGUUGAUAAAAUGCAACCUAUUCUUGAUAAAAACACUUAUUAGAACAGGAAUCAAUGGAUAUUUCCUCAACAUAAAUUUUUUAGUCCAAAGCCAUUAUCUUAACAGGGAAACACAGAAGGUUGGCCAAACAAAGUGAGAAAAAGAAGCUAAUAUUUAACAUCAUAUUAGAUAUAUCAACCAAAGCAAUUAGACAAGAAAAAGCAAUGUGAGGUAUAAUGAUUAGAGGAAAAACCAUUUUUGUUUGCAGAUAAGAUGUAUGUAAUCCUAGGGGAAAAAAUUCAAGAGAACCAACUGAAAUAUUACUAUAAAUAAUAGGGGGAUUCAGUAUGAUCAUAAAGAUUCAUAAGCUGAAAACAAUAAUCUACCACAAACAAAUACCAGUAAGAUACACUGUAAGAGAAAAUCCCAUUUAUAAUAAUAACAAAAAGAUGAAAUACCUAGGGACAAGCUUAAAAAAGAUAUGGGUAAGACCUAUAUGAUUAAAAUGUUAUGAUUCUUGACAAACAUAAAACUGAAACUGAACAUAAAGAUACAUCAUGUUCUUAGGUGCAAAGAACAGUUUUCACAAACACGUCAAUACUCCCUAACUUAAGUAAUAAAUUUAAUGUAAUCUUCCCUCCAUCCUCUUCCCUACCCCCCACCAAAAAAGAAAAACCGAAAAAUUUCUGGAACUAGAUGAUUCUAAAGCUUAUAUGGAAAAAGACACAAGAAUACCAGGAAAACAACAACAAAAUAGUAAUGAGGGGAGAUGAGCCCUACUCAGUAAUAAAACAUGCUAUAAAUCUUCUAAUUAAAAAAGUAUAUAAUAGGCACAUGUAUAGACAGAGAUAAAUGGAACAGGAUAAAAAAUGUGCCAAAUGAGACAGAAAUAAUGCAGGAAUUUAGUGUAUGAUAAAGGUGGCAACACAAAUCUCUGAAAUAAAGACCAUCAACUUUUUUCCAGUAUUGGACAAUAAUCCUCUAGAAAAAAUGAGCAAAGGAUAAAAAUAAGCAGUUGAAAAACAGAAUUACAAAUGUCCCUGAAACAUAUGACCAGAUUCUCAACUCCAUUCAUGUUACAGGUUGAACUGUGUUUCUCCAAAAUUCAUAUGAUGGAACCCUAACCUGCAGGACUUCAGAAUGUGACCUUAUUUGGAGACAGUCUUUGCAGAAGUAAUAAGGUUAAAAUGACAUCACCAGGGUAGACCCUAAUCCAACAUGACUAGUGUCCUUGUAGGAUGAGGAAAUCUGCCCAGAGACAUAUACAGAGAGAAGACAAUGUGAAGAGACGCAGCGAGAAAGUGGCUACCUACAAGUCAAGAGAAGGCCUGGGACAGAUCCUCCCUCACUGCCCUCAGGAAGGAACCAACUCUAAAGACACUUUGAUCUUGGACUUCAAGCUUCUAGAACAGUGCUCUAACAGUUGUCGUAUCUCAGUGUCAUACUCCACCCAUUCUGGGACAAUCCUGGCAGCAGCUUUUAGCUUAGGUUCUUUUGUUUUGGGAUUAUUGCACUAAAAGUUUAAAUAAAAUUUAGUUAAUGAAAAAUGA